GCGAGAGGGAACCGUCUCCUUCUUCUUCCACGACUUUCUGUGCCAUCUCCUUCCUUUCCCAUCCCUUCCCUAUCCCCGUUCUUCUCGAUCCUUCUUCCUCGCGCUUCUCUGUUUGGCUGUUUGAUUUCCCCCUCCCUGCGGAUGAGCGAAAUUCCUCUGUGAACGAUCAGUUAUUCAUGGCGCCCUUUAUCUCUGGUUGCUCUGAGCAAAAGAUGAGCCGUUACAAGCGAAGAACAACAGGGUGAAGAAGAUCAGCGACUGAUGAUCGGAACUGGAUUCAGACUCCUGUGAUCUCUUGUAUCUCUUUCCCUCAUCGUCGUGGACCGUUUAGAAGUUUAGAUUGGUCAUCCUAUUCACCGCGGAUGCCCCUUCGUUGUCUGGAACCGGGUUCAGGAACCGGACCUACCUUAAUCUGUCGAGGGUGGAGCGAGAUGAGUUCCUUAAGUGCGGACACUGGGUCGGGCCUUAGAUUCGUUUUCUGGCAAAUAUGAAUGAUGCCCAUAUUUCUCUCCACUGGCCUGGGAAUAUUCCAUACUCAUAUUUUUGAAUUUUCCUGUGAGUUCAGAUUUUUACUAUUGUUUGCUAAUAAAUAGGACUUCCAGUUAAAGUCGUUUUGAAUCAUCUGAAGUUUUGAAUACUGACUGUCUGAUUUUUGUAAAGAAAAUGGCAUUGUACGUUUUAAAGAACAACUAUAAUAAUAUAGAAGGGACUGAUAUUGGUCCGUUUUUUCAA